rnacentral:lncRNA from 1 species
AGCCUAACAUGUUUCUAACAACAACAAGAAUUAGAAAGCAUCCUCAAAAUUUAUAUGGAUACAAGAAAUAUAUGGAUGCCAUUUCUUGUUCUUGAUCUUCAAUCCCAAUCCCUGAUUCUUCACCUUCUUGAUGCUUCUUGAUUCAAUCCACGUUCUAGAUUUGUUCUCCUUUCCAACUUAUAUUGAAUUUACCCUCAUUUCUUGAUAUAUAUAGAUUUGAGAGGUGAGAGAGAGAUGCCUCAAUGUUUUUCCCUUGUCUUGUACUUAUAGGUGGUAAAAUUAGGUCAAGAAUUGCUCCCACAAUUGGUUUUCAAAAGAGUUGUAUUGAAAUAAGGAAACUAAUUCCCGU